UACGUAGGUGGCAAGCGUUGUCCGGAUUUACUGGGCGUAAAGAGCGCGCAGGCGGUCGUUCAAGUCGCGUGUGAAAGCCCCCGGCUCAACUGGGGAGGGUCACGCGAUACUGAUCGACUGGAAGGCAGGAGAGGGUAGUGGAAUUCCCGGUGUAGUGGUGAAAUGCGUAGAUAUCGGGAGGAACACCAGUGGCGAAGGCGGUUCUCUGGGCAUGACCUGACGCUGAGGAGCGAAAGUGUGGGGAGCGAACAGGA
rnacentral:rRNA from 1 species